rnacentral:lncRNA from 10 species
UCAUCUCCAGCAAUUCUGAUGUGAUUGGUCGGGGCUGUGGCCUGGGCAGCCUGUGUCUCAUCUCCAGCAAUUCUGAUGUGAUUGGUCGGGGCUGUGGCCUGGGCAGCCUGUCUCUCAUCUCCAGCAAUUCUGAGGUGAUUGGUCAGUGCUGUGGACUGGGUAGCCUGGGUUGUGUUUUAACGGUACCAGGUGAUUCUGAUGUGCCGUCCAGGUUGAGAAUCACUUUAGGCCCUUUCCAGCUCUUUAAACACAUGAAUUUAUCUAGGAAGGUAUGAAAGUUUGUUGGAUUUGAAAUUCCAGACAACUGGCAUUGACUCUAAUGAAGACUUCAGGGAUUUGAAUCAUUGACACAUGGCUGUUACCGUCCCCCAGUGCUGGGAGCUGGCUUGGGGUCCACGGUGCUCUGGGAUCUUCACUCAUCCACAGUAACAGUUCUGACCAGUCUUCCACGUCGCAGAUAUUGAGAGACUACCAUCCCCAGGCCAACCCUAGUGUUGGUACAGGAGCAGGCGACACCAAAAAGAAGAACAUAAAUAACGGCACUAACCCUGAGACAACCACUUCUGGUGGUUUCCACUCACCUGAGGAUGUGAGUCUUGGCUGGCGAGGCUCCUGGGGUCAGAGGGCCCAAGGGGUGGUGGAAGCUAAUUGUUAAGAUUGUGGAAGAACUGCCAGGUACUGGUUAAGAAUUCUGGGUUUGAAUCCUCUCCAUCUGCUGGGGAUAUGAUUUAGGGCAAAUUGCUUGAGCUCUUCGGGCCUCUCUUUUCACAUCUGUAAAAUAGGA